UAUUAAGAUUAUAAUUUCUUUUCACCUAAAGAUACACCAGUUAGACAAUGAAAUGGAAAACCACAAAAUAGUAGAAGAUAUUUGCAAUAAAUAUACCUGAUAAAGAUAUUAUAUUGAAAAAAUAUAGAGGUCCUACAAAUCAAUAAGAAAAAGCCAAAUACAAAAAUGUGCAAGUGACUUACACAGAAAUGUUAUACCAGACAUCAAAAAGGAAAAAAAAAUUCACUACUUCGUCAUUAUACAAAUUCAUAACAUAAUGCCAACAUAUACUCCCAGAAUGGCAAAAAUGAAAAAGAAGGCAGUUACUAUAAUUUUUCAGUGGGAAUGUAGAACAACUAGAGCUAACAUAAUGUGUUGACUGAAAAGCAAAGUGUUUUACAACCUUUGGGAAAAUUCAUUUUUUUAAAAUUUUAAAGCCAAACAUAACUCUUAGGCAUAUAUCCAUAUGUAUAUAUGUUUGGCUGGGCGUGGUUGCUCACGCUUGUAAUACCAGCACUUUGGGAGGCUGAGGUGGGCGGAUCACGAGGUCAGGAGUUCGAGACCAUCCUGGCUAACACGGUUCCUGGCUAACACGGUGAAACCCCGUCUCUAGUAAAAAUACAAAAAAAUUAGCCAGCCUUGGUGGCGGGCGCCUGUAGUUCCAGCUACUCAGGAGGCUGAGGCCCGAGAAUGGUGUGGACACGGGAGGCAAAGCUUGCAGUGAACCAAAUUCAUCAAAAAGGAGAUCAUACUGGGUAACCUUAAUCAGAUGAGCUCUUUAAAAGAGAAUCCAGACAUUCCCUGUAGAGAAAGAUUUGAAAGUAGAGUUUCUCCCACUGCCCUAGAAGAAACCAGUAACAAUACUGUGAACUCCCUAUGAAGGGGGCCAUGGUACAAGCAACUGAAGGAGGCCUCUAGAAAGUACGAGUGAUCUCCAGUGGACAGCCAAUCAAUAAACAAUAACUUUAGUCCUACAACCACGUGAAAGAGGACUCUGAGCUGCAAAUGGAAUGCAGCCAUGACUAAAGCAUUGCUUGUAACCUGGUGAGAUUCUGAGUAGUGGAUCAAACUAACUAUACCCAAACUCCCAACACAUAGUGAUUAUGAGAUAAUGAAUUUGUCUUAUUUAACAUCAAUUAGUUUAUUGUAAUUUGUUACACAGAAAUAAAAAAUGAAUACAGAAAGUUAGGAUAAUGCUUCCAUUUGGUGAGUGGGAGGGGAUUACUGGGAAAGAAAUCUAGUGGAGCUUCUGAAAUGCUAGUAAUGUUCUAUUUCUUGAGUUUGGUAUUAUAUAAAUAAAUAUUGACUUUGUAGAAAUCCAUCAACUAGAUACUUUUAAUAUAUACAGUCUUAGGUAUGCUCUAUAUUAAUCUCUAAAAAAGAGAUAUAUAAAGAAAAAAUGAAAACAGAAUGAACCAUCAAUAUAUAUUGCAUUGUUUUAUCUGCAGAAUAAUUUUAAUACACAUAUGAAUAAAACUACACAUUCAAUAAUUUCAUAAAUGUAGUUUUAAUAGUUCUUAAAAUGGCUAUAUUUCUCAAUUAGUCUUUUCCUAAAGGUUUUCAGUCCUGCUAUAAUUUUUCUCUUUUUUCAGUCCUGUUUCAAUUUGUAUUCCAUUUUUUCUUCCAAAUAUGGCAAAAAAUAAGACAAAUAAGUAAUAAAACUACAGCUAAUUUUUUAAUAAAAUAUCACCACUCCUGUGAUUAAAAUACACUGUAUAUUUAUAUAUUUUAAGUACCAAUUAACACUAUUGCCUUUCCAUUUCAACUUUGCCAACAAUAUUGAUGAUUUUAGAAAUGGCUCAAGGAAACUUUAUGUGAAAAAGAGUUGCUCUAUGUGGUUGACUCUGAAUAAAUUUUUCCCACUCCCUUUUGAAAGCUUCACUAACAAGAUAUAAAUUCUCCAUUUUCGAUAUCUUACUGGCUAGUCUUGUGUUUUUGUUACUGAAUGUACUAUAUUUUAUACGUGAUAUAACAGAUUCAGUACUAGUGUUUAAUUUUCUAAUAUUGAGUGUUUUUCCUUUCUGCUUUCAUGUGUUUUAAAUAAAUGUGAUGUAUUCUGGGAGUCAAUAUUUUUAUACUAUCUUACAAUCUAUGAUGAUUACAAAUCUGAAAUUUGAAUAGACACUUUUAGCUCUUGGCCAUUUUAAGACAUUAAAGCUCAUUAGCAAUCAUUUGUCUACAUGAACUACUUUGUCUAUAGCAAAACUGAGAUCAAAUAAAUGGUAGGAAACCUGCCUAAAAAUUUCCUGCUCUUCACACUAAUUUGAAUAUAUCAUCAAUUUUUA
rnacentral:lncRNA from 1 species